rnacentral:rRNA from 1 species
UACGUAGGUGGCAAGCGUUGUCCGGAUUUAUUGGGCGUAAAGGGUGCGCAGGCGGGAGAUUAAGUCGGCGGUGAAAUUUUGCAGCUCAACUGUAAAAGUGCCUUCGAAACUGGUUUCCUUGGGUGUAGAUGAAGUAGGCGGAAUUUGUAGUGUAGCGGUGAAAUGCUUAGAUAUCGCGAGGAACUCCGAUUGCGCAGGCAGCUUACUAAACUACUACUGACGCUCAGGCACGAAGGCGUGGGGAUCAAACAGGAUUAGAUACCCGUGUAGUCCCU